UUGUCUGAUCUGCUUUUCUGACUUUGUAUCUGCAGAGAGCUAGAAAGGCUGGUAAUAUUAAGGCUGUGUAGACAAGCCUUAAAGACACUGUAGUCGUUAAGGUCCCUGAGAAUGGGUAUAAUA
rnacentral:snoRNA from 1 species